UAAUGAUCAAACCUUGAUUUAUUCUUGUAAUUUUCUUUAACGUUAUCGUGUAACAUUGCAAUAUGCAGGACUAUCGGCAAGUGUAAACGAUUUGUUAAAUAGAGGAAUAUGAUUGAGGAUCCAUACGCGAAGCCUAUAUUGCAAAAGAAACUAUCCAUUUUUGUUCUUAAUACUUUGACAGUCAUGUGCCAUGUGCUAGAAAUAUGCCCAAUCGGCACAAUGUGAUAAUUGAGAUUGAUCCAUUAUAGCCACCAAUGUCCACAUUCAAUCAACCAGGCCGAAGUUCUAAAGAUCGAACACAAAAGGGCCUAACUAGUAUGGAGUACAAAUCAGCUUCAAAUCAUGUGUUGCUAAAUUGUCCGGAAGU
rnacentral:lncRNA from 1 species